AAUAAUAGUAUUUACUUCACAGGGUAUUGUGAAGAUGAAAGCAAAGAUAUGGCAAGAGCUCAGAAGAGUACCUGGCCCAUAUUAAGUGACCAUGCUCAAGAGCUUCAGAAUCUUUACAACGUGAAAGAAGAUGGAGUAUUGCCAUUACCAUGUAUAAGAACAGACGCUCCACUCUGGUUGGGGAUCUCUCUGCUCUAAGAUGCAGGGGUUGAAAUGGACUCCCUGGCUAUGGAUGAGUGAGUGUGCAUUUAAUUGACAUGGGAGAGUUUGGUUAUUAUUUAAAGCAGCUGAUCCCAAAUACUGGCCCCCACACUAGUUUGGCUCUGUGAUCAGAUUCUCACCCAUCUACCGUGAAA
rnacentral:lncRNA from 10 species